rnacentral:rRNA from 1 species
UGGGGAAUUUUGGACAAUGGGCGAAAGCCUGAUCCAGCAAUGCCGCGUGUGUGAAGAAGGCCUUCGGGUUGUAAAGCACUUUUGUCCGGAAAGAAAUCCUUGGCUCUAAUACAGUCGGGGGAUGACGGUACCGGAAGAAUAAGCACCGGCUAACUACGUGCCAGCAGCCGCGGUAAUACGUAGGGCUGCAAGCGUUAAUCGGAAUUACUGGGCGUAAAGCGUGCGCAGGUCGGUUUGCUAAGACCGAUGUGAAAUCCCCGGGCUCAACCUGGGAACUGCAUUGGUGACUGGCAGGCUAGAGGUAUGGCAGAGGGGGGUAGGAUUCCACGUGUAGCAGUGAAAUGCGUAGAGAUGUGGAGGAAUACCGAUGGCGAAGGCGCCCCCUGGGCCAAUACUGACGCUGCAUGC